rnacentral:lncRNA from 1 species
UAUCGCGACCGCAAGUUUUAUCGACGCAGCUUCCUGCGUCAACAAAACGAACAAAAGUUGACGCAGAAUGUUGACGCUGCCACUGCCGCCGGUACCUGCGGUAACCAAACGAACAGCCCUUUCGUUCAUUGAACUUGAGCUACACUUUGUUGGACUGAUGAAGAAGAACAACAGAGUUAGUAUUUUUGUUUACUCAGUAUUUGUUUGAUCUUUGUGAAGAGAAAGGACAUGAUGAAAAUGGAAGGCAAGAUGAUAGGGGAAGUGAUGAUAGCAGUUUGAGUUCCCCUGCUUCUCAAGGAAGUGGAGAAUUUGGCGAGGCAAAAGAUCCAUCUGGUUUGGUGAAUGACACUGCUAAAGAGAUAUCAGAUCAUGUUACUCAGGGGCUAGGACCAAAAAAUGGUAUUGAAAGAGGAAAGGAUGACAAGAAAAACUCUGUGGACUUAGCUUCUCAGGAUGCUUGUGGCAAUUCGAUCAAGGAAAUCACUCCUGUUGCCAAACCUGAAAAGACUGAGCAUGCUGAGACCUCAACACACUCAAAUUUAGUCAACAACAAGUCUGAUGGAACGAAGGAGUAUCCAUCUCCGGAGAAAGAUAAUGGUAAGGUGGCGGCUACUCUUCCUGGGUCUCCUGCUGGAACAAGCAGAAAUGUAGAGAGUAUAUUGAAAUCUGAAGUUCCAGUGUCCUCUGAGGAGAAGGUUGCAUCUCUUUUCUUUUCUUCUUACUGCAUCAUUUUACUUAUAGAUUCCUCUCUUUUCAGUUGGCUGAAUCUCCUGUGGCUGUGAUAUAUGCAGCGUCUCUUGUUGACUGAUCCACCAGCCGUCCGAACUUCCUGGUUAAGUUGCUGCGGUUUGUUUGAUGCAGUGACAGGAUCUGACAGAUAAACACAGGUUAGUCUUGGUUUUAUGAUUCUUGCUACAUGUCCUUUACCUGGUCGAGGCUCCUUAUUUCUAUGAUCUUCCAUGGCGUAUUAUGUCUCCUGCUUUUGUGGAUGGAUGUCCUUGAUUCAUCAAUAUUUCACUGAAACUACUUCACUUAAUCUUCUGACCAUCUAAAUGGUCUCUAGUAAGAGGGUUCGUGGAGUUAGAAUCUUGGAUUGUGAGUGGCUCUUUAAGUAGAUUGUUUAACUUAGAGUUUCAAUCAGUUACUGAAAUUGUUUACAAGUAAAUAUCAAUUACCAAACUAUGUAAAAAAACAGAUUAUAGUCUCCCAGGAAUCUGAAGUUUAUGGCAAUGCAUAACUGAGUCUUGUCUUUCACAUCAUUCUCUUCUCUAUAACUUUGAUUGUAUUUGUAUAAUAAAUACGUUCUCCUAAGUCUACUUGCUCCUUUUCUUGUUUAAAGGUCUUGAUAUAUAUUAGCUACUUCCAUGUUCUUUGUUUUGGUUGUCACACAAUCUUGUUAAAAAUGGCAUCUAGCAUAAACUCAUCUCCUAACAUAAAAUAGAUUCUUGCGGUUUCUCUCCACUCUCCCUCAGGGACCAAAUCCUUUUUCUGUUCUUGUGAGAAUCAUUAACUACAUUUUCUAUUAUGUUAAACCGUCUCAUUGACAUGUUUUCUCUGCAUUUUAUUGCGGAAGAGCAGGAGAUAGAUAAAGGUAGGACGCGCAUGACAGCCAAAGCUCAAAGACAACCGAAAAACAUGGUUCACGGUCCGUAAACUUUUCUCUGUACAUUGUCUUUGAUAGAUAAUAAUGUUGGCGGCUUUUAGCAACAUACGAACAAGACCAACAUCCUUAACAGGGUACAUUUGUUCAUUAAAUGGAUUUUAGAUUCAUGACUAAAUCUAACUCAAUCUUUCUUAUCAAUUACCACAAUCAUCAUUGAUCUUCUAUAUAUUUAGUUCAUUAGAUAUGUGUCGAAGCCUGAUCCGUUUCAAGCCUCAGAUUUUGAUUUUAUUCUAUGAACACAAAGUGACGCACACACAAAACAAGAUCUGAACCUUUUGUACACAAAGAAUGCAUGAAUUUAAAUUAAGCUUUUUGUUCAACUUCCUAUGAAAAUAACAUCACACACACGCAAAAACACUCAGCAUAGAUUGACAUGAAAAGUAGAAAGAAACCCGAAAGCCCAUAUGAUUCCUUAGGUAGGUCUCCUCACGCCGUGAACAGCAGCGAUGUAAAGAAGCUGUGUGACUGAGAGUAUGAUCAAGAACGCCUCCAUGGUUCUCUACAAAGAAAAGGAGAGGAACAUGAAGCCAAUAAUUAUGGGUUUUCCUAAAUUGAAUCUUUAAUAGGAUUUAGGAUUAGAGAAAAUUCUUCACCAGUUUUGCAUUUCGCACGUGAAGCUCGAUUUCUUUCCAGGCGAAUCUGUUGAUGAAAUAAUUAUUAGUCAUACCACCAAUGGCAAGGACUGUGAGGAUUUAUAUUUACCCCAUGGCAAGGACUGUGAGGGUCCAGGCAAUAGUUGCAGCUGCGGCUGCAGCAGGUAACCUUCCCACGGUCCAAGAACGAAUGUGGCUAAGGCCUGAGAUUGUGGAAGCCGCACCAACUACUCCCGCAAGCAACGCGAAUGUCACAAAGAAACCUGUGGCUGCGUUUCCCAUCGGAAAAUAAAUUGGGGAGAAAUGUGCUGGCAGCUUGAGAUCAGGGCCUUGUUUUCAAAAGAAUCCGAAAUGUUAUUAAGUUAAAGAACAACAAACCAAACUAUACGUGCGAAAAGCAAACAAACUCGAAGAAACCAAAAACCGAUAACAAAGCAAUCAUAAUUGGAGAUGAGUUAAAAUUUUGAUCGUAUACUUACCAAUUUCGAAACCGUGGUCGAUUGCACGGUUCAUGGCCCAUCCUCCAAUCCCUAAAACAAUCACAUACAUGCAGAAGUUCAGCACCAGAAGUAGAGAAGCAACAGGUUUCAUUUGCUCACCCGCCAUUUCACCCAUUUUUUUUUAAAUUACAAAAACAGGAGAAGAGAAAGAAAAAGAAGAAGAACAGAGGAAAAUUAAGUUUGUUCUUAUGUUUGGAACAAGAUAUGUGAAGCUACUUUAUAAACUAUGCAUUGUUCUUUUCUUGUUAAGGCUGCUGGUAAUAAAAUAAUGGUUUAUUAGAGAGUUGUAAAGUUGAUAGCUUGAAGUUCAAGGCAAUAUUAUAAAACCCAAUAUUCUUGGCUUUGUUCUUUGUACAUGUAGAAAAUUUACAACCUUUGGAAUAGAUGUUCUUGUUUGCGUACUCAUUUGUUGUGAGCAACCUAACGAUAGUAACUAACAGCCUCUUAUCAAAAAGAUCUAAAUUGAAUUCCACAAGCUACAAAUAUACAAUAUGUAUCUCGAUUUGUUGAUUUUUUGUAUAGUCAAAACAGCUUAAUAUAAAAAUUAAAAUAUAUUAUUUUUGAAAACUGAAAAUUAAAACGAUUUAAGUUAAAUUUCGGAGUUUUUAAUUUCGUUUUAAAGCUUACAGUUUUAUCAUUGUAAAAUUGUUUAUAGUUACACAAUUAACCCAUUAAAUAAAAUAUAAUUGAGGAAUCCAUACUUUUCUAGUGAAACGAAAAUUGUACUUUUAUUUGAUUCUUUUACAGAAAAACAUAAAUCAUUCUCUUUUAGUAUGUAUCAUAAAUUCGUAAUACAUAAUUUCUUGUUAAUACUUUUAGCAUAUUAGGACAAAAAAACAUUUGUAUUUUUAUUUUUAUUUUUUAUUUUAUUUUAUUUUUUUUUUUAUUUUUUUUUAUUUUUGUUUGUUUAUUUAAUUUUAAACCAAGGGUAUUAGGGAUAUUUUACCCUUUAAUGAAUGUCAUUUUUGUGACUUUCUCCUUAUAGUGCUAUUUUUGAGACAUAAACUUCAAAAGGUGCUAUUAUUGACAAUUGCCCUUAUUUAAAUUAGAAAAAUAAAAGUAUUCUUAAAUAUAUGUUCAAUAAAUAUCUCAAUGACAUUCUAAUGUAAAUAAAUGGUAAAAUUAAAGGGUAUUUUUAUUUUGUACUUCUGUUUUAAUAAUAUAGAUUAUAUUGUGCAGUGAUGUAAGGAGUACCCGUGAUUUAUUACCAAUAGAAUCCAUAUAUGAUACCAUAUUUUAGUCUUCUUUUUUCUCUGAACGUAAAUGAAUAAUUAUAUUUGUUCAAAAAAAAAGAGAAUAAAUAUGGAAAUGCUAAUACGGUUGAAUUAAAAAAAAAAGUUGAUCCCUUUCUUUCUCUCUCCUUAUCUGAUUCCUGUGCGAGAGAUUCUGAUUUUAUUCAGCGUAGAGACAAAAAGAAGUCACUCCACACACCAACUCACACACACUGAAGCGAACCUAAACUUUCAUUAAAAAUCGUCCAUCUUUUCGAUCGAUCAUGCCGCCAGGUGCGAAGAAGAGAAAGGCGUUGAAGAAGAAGAAGAAGCAGCAGAAACAACAGGAACCGACUGUAACAAGCACGAACACUAAGGGAUCCACCAAUGGCGAUAAUCACCAUGGUACCUUUCUUCUAUCUCCCGCUCGAUUUUUGAUCUCAGGAUUUGGUCAAUAGAUUCGUCUUGAACGGUUUAAUGGAUUUAGGUAUCGGAUUAAUCAUUUCAUGGUUGCUGCGAUCUGUUUGAUUAUUGCUCCAUCAUUUGUGCCUUUUUGUUUUAAUAGUUCUCUGAUCAUCUGUUUCGAGCUAAGAAUUGGUGAAUGAAUGCUUCUUCAGCCCCGUUCGUUUGGUUGCCGCAGGUUUCGGCGUCAGCAGCGGCGGCAGCGUCAAUGAGAACAGUUGUUGUUCGUUUCGCAGACGCUGCUGACGCUGCCGCUGACGCUGCCGCUGACGCUGCCGCUGACGCUGCCGCUGACGCUGACGCUGCCGCAUGUUAUAUCGCGACCGCAAGUUUUAUCGACGCAGCUUCCUGCGUCAACAAAACGAACAAAAGUUGACGCAGAAUGUUGACGCUGCCACUGCCGCCGGUACCUGCGGUAACCAAACGAACAGCCCUUUCGUUCAUUGAACUUGAGCUACACUUUGUUGGACUGAUGAAGAAGAACAACAGAGUUAGUAUUUUUGUUUACUCAGUAUUUGU